AAUGUAAGGCGAGAUAAGAAAAGGAACUCGGCCAAACUCCAUUAUCAGCAGGGACCAGUACAAGGAACCGACCGAAGGCGGAGUGAGUCUGCAAAGCAGCAGUGGGGUGAAAAGGGCAGAGUGAGGAAGACGUCGAGCCUUCAUCCAACCACCACCAGGAGGGGGGAGGAAGACGUCGAACCUUCAUCCAACGACCACCAGGAGGGAGGAGGAAGACGUCGAGCCUUCAUCCAACCACCACCAGGAGGGAGGAAGACGUCGAGCCUUCAUCCAACCACCACCAGGAGGGGGGAGGAAGACCUCGAGCCUUCAUCCAACCACCACCAGGAGGAGGGAGGAAGACCUCGAGCCUUCAUCCAACGACCACCAGGAGGAGGGAGGAAGACGUCGAGCCUUCAUCCAAUGACCACCAGGAGGAGGAAGACGUCGAGCCUUCAUCCAACCACCACCAGGAGGGGGGAGGAAGACGUCGAGCCUUCAUCCAAUGACCACCAGGAGGAGGAAGACGUCGAGCCUUCAUCCAACCACCACCAGGAGGGGGGAGGAAGACCUCGAGCCUUCAUCCAACCACCACCAGGAGGAGGGGGGAAGACCUCGAGCCUUCAUCCAACCACCACCAGGAGG
rnacentral:lncRNA from 1 species